CCUACGGGCGGCUGCAGUGGGGAAUAUUGGACAAUGGGCGAAAGCCUGAUCCAGCCAUGCCGCGUGUGUGAAGAAGGCCUUCGGGUUGUAAAGCACUUUCAGUGGGGAAGAAAGCCUUGGGGCUAAUACCCUCGAGGAAGGACAUCACCCACAGAAGAAGCACCGGCUAACUCCGUGCCAGCAGCCGCGGUAAUACGGAGGGUGCGAGCGUUAAUCGGAAUUACUGGGCGUAAAGCGCGCGUAGGCGGUCUGAUAAGCCGGUUGUGAAAGCCCCGGGCUCAACCUGGGAACGGCAUCCGGAACUGUCAGGCUAGAGUGCAGGAGAGGAAGGUAGAAUUCCCGGUGUAGCGGUGAAAUGCGUAGAGAUCGGGAGGAAUACCAGUGACGAAGGCGGCCUUCUGGACUGACACUGACGCUGAGGUGCGAAAGCGUGGGUAGCAAACAGGAUUAGAUACCCUAGUAGUC
rnacentral:rRNA from 1 species